UGGGGAAUAUUGGACAAUGGGCGCAAGCCUGAUCCAGCCAUGCCGCGUGAGUGACGAAGGCCUUAGGGUUGUAAAGCUCUUUUACCAGGGAUGAUAAUGACAGUACCUGGAGAAUAAGCUCCGGCUAACUCCGUGCCAGCAGCCGCGGUAAUACGGAGGGAGCUAGCGUUGUUCGGAAUUACUGGGCGUAAAGCGUACGUAGGCGGUGACUCAAGUCAGAGGUGAAAGCCUGGAGCUCAACUCCAGAACUGCCUUUGAAACUAGGUCGCUAGAAUCACGGAGAGGUGAGUGGAAUUCCGAGUGUAGAGGUGAAAUUCGUAGAUAUUCGGAAGAACACCGGUGGCGAAGGCGGCUCACUGGCUCGAUACUGACACUGAGGUGCGAAAGCGUGGGGAGCAAACAGGAUUAGAUACCCCAGUAGUCCCUGAGCGGGCUGGCAAGGCGCAU
rnacentral:rRNA from 1 species